rnacentral:rRNA from 1 species
UUCGAGCGGGGAAUAGCCCAGAGAAAUUUGGAUUAAUACCCAUAGUAUAGCGGAGAGGCAUCUCUCUGUUUAUUAAAGAUUUAUCACUUGAAGAUGGCUGUGCGGCUGAUUAGGUAGUUGGCGGGGUAACGGCCACCAAGCCUGCGAUCAGUAACUGGUGUGAGAGCACGACCAGUCACACGGGCACUGAGACACGGGCCCGACUCCUACGGGAGGCAGCAGUAAGGAAUAUUGGUCAAUGGACGAAAGUCUGAACCAGCCAUGCCGCGUGGAGGAUGAAGGUCCUCUGGAUUGUAAACUUCUUUUAUAUGGGACGAAAAAAGGUCUUUCUAGAUCGUCUGACGGUACCAUAUGAAUAAGCACCGGCUAACUCCGUG